ACGUUCUUGUGUUUUUUGUUGAUUGUAUUAUUCAAAGUCAAUAAUUGUCAAAAAGAACGCAAAGUAAACUAAAACAACAACUCGUUAUUAUUGAAUCUGUCAUCUUAAGAUUAAAUAUAUUCCAUUUGUUGCUUAUAAUU